rnacentral:rRNA from 1 species
CUACGGGCGGCUGCAGUGGGGAAUUUUGCGCAAUGGGGGAAACCCUGACGCAGCAAUACCGCGUGAGUGAAGAAGGCCUUUGGGUCGUAAAGCUCUUUUCUUGGGGAAGAUAGUGACGGUACCCAAGGAAUAAGCACCGGCUAACUCCGUGCCAGCAGCCGCGGUAAUACGGAGGGUGCAAGCGUUGUUCGGAUUUACUGGGCGUAAAGGGCACGUAGGCGGCACAGCAAGUUAAGGGUGAAAUCCCGGGGCUCAACUCCGGAACUGCUCUUAAAACUGCUGAGCUAGAGAUAGUCAGAGGCGGGUGGAAUUCCAGGUGUAGAGGUGAAGUUCGUAGAUAUCUGGAGGAACACCGGUGGCGAAGGCGGCCCGCUGGGGCUAUUCUGACGCUAAGGUGCGAAAGCGUGGGGAGCAAACGGGAUUAGAUACCCCUGUAGUC